rnacentral:lncRNA from 1 species
CUUUCCACUCACUCCUUGUCAGCUGCACCUGGUCUCUCCCUCCCCCUCUUUCCUUACCCUGCUUUCCACUCUGUUCACCUUCCUGGCUCUCUCUCUCCUCUGGCCCUGGCAUCUCUCAAGCCUUUCUCCUUGCAUCCGUGUCUCCUUCCUGCCUCCCUUCCCCUCUAGCUCUUUCCCCCUCUCACCCCAGCCCCUUUCUGACCUGUGCCCAGGGGACGGACACAUAGACACUGCCUGCGCGUGGGCCUCCUCCCUUCUCCCUCCCGUCAGAGCUGCCAGCUCCACUCACCAGCUUCCCGUCCAGCCUGCCUUCCGGGGACCAGGACCGGCUCCUCGAGGGAGGCACAGACCUGAGCCCCUCGGCUCUGGACGCUGCUGCCGCUGGUGUGCCCUCCCCUGACCUCCUGCGGCAGGAACAACACAAAACGGUGCUUCCCCAGAGCCGUAGAAGAAACCGAGGCACAGAGCAGUUAAGGAGCAAGAGAUAAACAGAGCAGAAGCGGAAAGGAGAUGAGAGAGAUAAGGAAACUGAGGCAGCUUAGGGCGGUUAAGUGACUUGCCCGAGAUUGCUGGGUGAGUGGUGGAGCCGGACCUGCACCCCAACACUGGGGGUGGCUGCUGGGACUGCCCUCAUGGAGGCUUCGGGAGCCUGGAGGAGGUGCCUCACCCUGCCUGGGGUGAGCCCUAACUUGCUCCCUGCAGAGUCAGGGUGGCGUGGGUCAGGGGCUUAGCAGACCACCAUGGCUGCUUCAGGGACUCCAUGGCUCUGAGCAGGACGGGUUUUGCCCUGGGGGUGGACUCUGUGCUGCCCACCUCCUCAGUCUGUUAAGGGUUAGGGUGGCAGCAGGACGACUGGCACUUUCUCGUGGCAGAGAGGCCAUGCCCUGCUCCACCGAGAGACAAGUCAAACAGCAGGGCCCUGGGGAGCCCCAGAGGAUGCAUUAUUCUCUGUCCCAGGACUCAGAGGGGGUUUGGGGGAACUGCAGGAAAAGGCCACGCAGAGUGGCCAAGGAGGGGCAGUGUCUCUGAGCAGCAGCAGCACUGCAGCAGAAAUUUCUGCUGGGCUCCCCCAACCCUACUCACUGUCCCCCGCUCAGCUCUGCACCCAGGGCGUCCAGGGCCCUCCUGCGCCCCACCCCACUGCCUUCUGGAAUAAGGUGGGUGGCCUCUCCAGCUCACCCAGCAAACAUAUAUUGAGUACCUGCUGUAUGUCAGGCCCUGGUGGGCACCAGGACACAUGUGAUGAAUAAGACGCAGGUCCUGUGCUCAGGAAGCACAUGACCUCCUAGGGGUGGGAGGCAGAUGACGGAUGACAGGGAGGUGUCCGGGAGGUGGGCACAGAACCAUGGGACCAGGCGGUGGCUUGGACCCUAGAGGGCCACUGUGAAGCUGGGUGCUGGGGAAACAGUGUGGGCAGGGGGGCUCCCUGUGGACCCCCAGGAUCAUAUUCAGUGCCUGCUGCACCCUGGGGCUCAGCGAGUGUUUGUUGAAUGUAUAAAUGAGUGUGGAAGAAGCAAGUCUGCAAGUGGCUGGGGACCGACCACUCCAGCCUCCCUCUCUGCCUCCCGCCCAGGUUUCCUCUCCAUUCCAGCUUUUCUGCCUUUCUGAAGAGCCAGCUCACUGCCCUGGAUACCCAAGGGUAGCCAUGGGCCCUGCCCAAGAUGCCGCUAUCCCUGAGACAGGGUGGCCAGGAAGAGAGCCCCGAGGAGAAGGACCUGGUAGGAGCAGGGGGAAGCCCUGAGGAGCUGGGUGAAGAUUUCCUGGCACAAGUCCUGGGGAAGGGCCCCAGACAGCAGUUCCUCAAUUCCCAGGGUAUAGAGGGUGGAGUCUCUGAAAGGCCACGGGGUGGAGACCCUGGCAUGAUUCAACAUUCACUCAACAAAAUAUUUAUUGAGCGCCUGCCAAUGCUAGACCCACAUGCUGGCCAGCAUCCCUGCCUGUGCAAGCUCUGGAUGAGCUGUGUGCCCCUGCCACCCACACCCCCACUCCCUGCCAGCCUGGCCUCAGGGCCUCUGAUCCAUGUGCACUGGAGUGGUGAUGACUGACAGGGCCACUGGGGCAUUUCCAUGUUAACAGCAGCUGCCACUGGCAAAAGAAGUGACUCGCCAAUGGUGGCAUCUCAGAUGUGGGCCCAGGAGUCUGGGGAGCUACUUUGAACAGGGCUAUCCAUUCAUUGUCCCACCAAAGGCUAUGGAGCCCACCCACCAUGUGCUGGAGUAGUCAAGGGAAAUAAGACACUCUCCUUGUCCUUGUUAACUCAAUCAACAAGCAUUUGCAGAGCACCGCCUGUAUGCCGGCGCUGUCCGAAGUGCUGAAGAUACAGCAAUGAGCAAACCAAAAGCCAUGGACAUCGGAUGAAACAGAGAAUUGUAAACAAUAAGUACAUCAUUUAGCUCUAUGGAAAACAGGAUAGAGAUUUCUCAAAGAACUAAAACUAGAACUACCAUUCAACCAGCAAUCCCACCACUGGGCAUCCACCCAAAGGAAAAGAAGUCAUUUAAUCAAAGAGACACCUGCACUCGUGUGUUCAUCGCAGCAACACUGUUCACAACAGCAAAGCCAUGAAAUCAACCUAAGUGUCCAUCAACAGAUGAUGGAUAAAGAAAAUGUGGUGAAUAUAUACACAGUGGGAUACUACGAAGCCAUAAAAAAGAACACAAAACCAUGUCUUUUGCAGCAAUGUGGAUGGAACUGGAGGCCAUUAUCUUAAGCGGAACAAGUCAAACACAGAAAGACAAAGAUUGCAUGUUCUUAUUUAUUUAUUUACUGAGAUGGAGUCUCACUGUGUCACCAGGCUGGAGUGCAGCGGUGCAAUCUUGGCUCACUGCAGCCUCCACCUCCCGAGUUCAAGCAAUUCUCCUGCCUCAGCCUCCCAAGCAAUUCUCCUGCCUCAGCCUCCCACAUAGCUGGAACUACAGGCACGUGCCACCACACCCAGCUAAUUUUUGUAUUUUUAGUAGAGGCAGGGUUUCAGCAUGUUUGUCAGGAUGGUCUCAAUCUUUUUACCUCAUGAUCUGCCAGACUUGGCCUCCCAAAAGGCUGGGAUUACAGGCAUGAGCCAGUGUGCCCAGCCUUUUUUUUUUUUUUUUUUUUUUUUUGAGGCAGAGUCUUGCUCUGUUGCCCAGGCUGGAGUGCAGUGGCGCAAUCUGGGCUCACUGCAACCUCUGCCUCCCGGGUUCAAGUGAUUCUCCUGCCUCUGCCUCCUGAGUAGCUGCAAUUACAUGUGCACACCACCAUGCCCAGCUAUUUUUUAUAUUUUUAGUAGAGACGGGGUUUCACCAUAUUGGUCAGGCUCGUCUCGAACUCCUGACCUCAGGUGAUCUACCUGCCUUAGCCUCUUAAGCAUGUUCUCAUGUAUAAGUGGGAGCAAAGCAGCCGGACGCAGUGGCUCACGCCUGUAAUCCCAGCACUUUGGGAGGCCAAGGCGGGCAGAUCACGAGGUCAGGAGGAGCUAGAGACCAUCCUGGCUAACAUGGUGAAACCCUGUCUCUACUAAAAAUACAAAAAAUUAGCCGGGUGUGGUGGCGGGCGCCUGUAGUCCCAGCUACUUUGGAGGCUGAGGCAAAAGAAUGGCGUGAACCUGGUAGGCGGAGCUUGCAGUGAGCUGAGAUCGUGCCACUGCACUCCAGCCUGGGCGACAGAGCGAGACUCCAUCUCAAAAAAAAUAAAAUAAAAUAAGUGGGAGCAAAGCAAUGUGCACCUGUGGCCACAGAGUGGAAUAACAGACAUUGGAGACUGGGAGGGUGGGAGGGAGGGAGGGGGCAAAGGAGAAGAAAUUUGCUAUUGGAUCCAGUGUUCACGAUUUGGGUGAUAGGCACUAAAAGCCCAGACUUCACCACCACACAGUAUAUCCAGGUAACAAAAAUGUGCUUGUACCCUCUAAUUUUUUUGGUUGUUUGUUUGUUUUUGAGACCGAGUCCCGCUGUGUUGCCCAGGCUGGAGUGCAGUGGCACGAUCUCGGCUCACUGCAAGCUCCGCCUCCCAGGUUCACCCCAUUCUCCUGCCUCAGUCUCCCGAGUAGCUGGGACUACAGGCGCCCACCACCAUGCCC